rnacentral:rRNA from 1 species
GAUGAACGCUGGCGGCGUGCUUAACACAUGCAAGUCGAACGAUGAACCUCACUUGUGGGGGGAUUAGUGGCGAACGGGUGAGUAACACGUGAGUAACCUGCCCUUGACUCUGGGAUAAGCCUGGGAAACCGGGUCUAAUACUGGAUACGACCUUCUGGCGCAUGCCAUGUUGGUGGAAAGCUUUUGUGGUUUUGGAUGGACUCGCGGCCUAUCAGCUUGUUGGUGGGGUAAUGGCCUACCAAGGCGACGACGGGUAGCCGGCCUGAGAGGGUGACCGGCCACACUGGGACUGAGACACGGCCCAGACUCCUACGGGAGGCAGCAGUGAGGAGUAUUGCACAAUGGGCGCAAGCCUGAUGCAGCGACGCCGCGUGAGGGAUGAAGGCCUUCGGGUUGUAAACCUCUUUCAGUAGGGAAGAAGCCGGCUUUUGGGUUGGUGACGGUACCUGCAGAAGAAGCGCCGGCUAACUACGU